UUCGAGUCUUUGGUUCUUUUCCUCGAG
rnacentral:piRNA from 1 species